rnacentral:rRNA from 1 species
GAUGAACGCUGGCGGCGUGCCUAAUACAUGCAAGUCGAGCGAACGGACGAGAAGCUUGCUUCUCUGAUGUUAGCGGCGGACGGGUGAGUAACACGUGUAUAACCUACCUAUAAGACUGGGAUAACUUCGGGAAACCGGAUCUAAUACCGGAUAAUAUUUUGCACCGCAUGGUUCAAAAGUGAAAGACGGUCUUGCUGUCACUUAUAGAUGGAUCCGCGCUGCAUUAGCUAGUUGGUAAGGUAACGGCUUACCAAGGCAACGAUGCAUAGCCGACCUGAGAGGGUGAUCGGCCACACUGGAACUGAGACACGGUCCAGACUCCUACGGGAGGCAGCAGUAGGGAAUCGUCCGCAAUGGGCGAAAGCCUGACGGAGCAACGCCGCGUGAGUGAUGAAGGUCUUCGGAUCGUAAAACUCUGUUAUUAGGGAAGAACAUAUGUGUAAGUAACUGUGCACAUCGUGACGGUACCUAAUCAGAAAGCCACGGCUAACUACGUG